CCCCACCCCGGGCUCACACCCCACUUGGCCGUCCUCCCCCGUCCCACGCCCUCCUCCCCCCAGCACCUCCUCCCUCCUCCUGAGCAGAAACGCGGGAGCUGCAGGACCAGGUAAGGGUGGUUCUGGGAGCCUCUGGCAGCGAAUGGCUUUUGGGAAAAGUGGGCAGCUCUCCACCCUCUGAAAUCGUAAGUCUGUAUUGGAUCGGACCGAUGUCAAAGAUGGGACCUUUGGCGACUUGUAAGGAGACCUGGCCUUAAGGCGUUAAAGCGGUCCUAUGAGGAACUGCAAGAACUAGCAUGAAAAGGAGUUCCGUCAGGAUUGUCCUCUCCCCUGAGCAAUCGGGCUAGACUCUCCGACCGAGAGCAGGACCGGAUUUUUCCUUGUAAGACACGUCAGAAAUGCCGGGGAGCGCGCUUUCCCCUUUGCAGCGCUUGGGGGACGCUGUGCGAGAAAUGUUCUAAUUCAGAAAGCGGAGUUCGAGAUGGUGACGUGAUUGUCUGUGUGAACAGUCCGAUCCAACGUGCGCAGGUUGGAGGGGACCGUGGGGAGAAGGGAAAGCCCGGUUUGGCUGCAGCCUAGACUGUGGGAAGGGGAGGAAAGCAGAGUGCUGCUGGGAAGAGGGAGGCUUUGCAGACCCAACAGAGGACGUCAUCGCUGAUCCUGGAGGUGAUGGUUAUUGCAGUAACGGAGUAGGGGGAUGCCCUUGGGUCCUAUGUUGUAGGAGCGUCCCUGAGGCCGCUCAUUGGAGGAGCUGCAGUGGAGAGCUCUGUUCCAGGAGUCCUGCUCUAUCCCAAGUGAAAUGUGAUAAGAACCUGAAUGAGAGCGGCUGCUGUGGCUUCCAGUUCCCAGAGAAGAAGUGAUCUCUUAUUUUGAGCAAAGGGAAGCAUGUUGGACGCUGGACAAAGAAGGCCUCAGAAGCUACUCUCCAGGUGAGUGAAUUGAAAGCAGGUAUAUGAGAGCUAUGGUUACAAGAGGAUUCUAGGUAUUAUCCUGAAGUAAGUGAUCAGUUUGGGGGAGAAAGACCAGACUUGGAUUUCAUUGUUGGAUAUUUCUUGCCAGCAGCGUCCUGGGCUCCUCAGUGAAUCUCAGUUUCCCAUCUAUAAAAUGAGUUGGUCGCAAUCCAUGGUACCGUACAUCCCUCCCAGUGAUCAUCUGUGAUCCUAUUAGAAGUCAUUGUUUGGGACAAUGGAAUUCUCCUUAUGAGCCAUUUCUUAGAACGUCUUAGGGCCUGGUACAUGGCAUGUCUGGGCUGAGCACUAGGAACAUAAAGUGGUAUAAGGGACAUCCUCUGCUCUCAUGGAGGUCACAGAAUGGUGGGGCAGAAAAUACCCCAGCAACUAUGGAGAAAUCCACUGUGAAUAAAUUUAGUGCCUCAGUACUUCAUUAAAUGAUGGGGAUAAUAAUGGUUUAAGAGGGAGAGCAGAAUUGGCAAGGAAAGAGUCAAAAUGAAAGAAAAUAGCUAGUACACUUAUACUGCACUGUGUGUCACACACAGCCUUGUCUUAUUUUAUCCUCAUGACAACCCAAGGACUUUGCAGAUGUUAUUAAGGCCCUUUUACAGAUAAAGAAAACUGAAUCACACAGAGAUCCUACAACUUGACUAGCAGGCUUCUGAGGUGGGAUUAAAAGUUUGGUUUUCCUGGUUUAAGGCCCUACUCAUAGUCCAUCUGUAUUGUGAUUUUGAAACAGACAUGAUGAAAAUGGCCAUAUAUGUAUGAGAUAGAAAAUAGAAGAACUGGACAAGCUCCUGUUGAAACAAUGAAAUUCAUUUUUUAAUCACUAGCCAAUCAAAAGAAAUUGUUAUUUACUGUUAAACAAAUUUAUAUUUCCAUUGACUUACGACAAAAAUUGCACUACAUAACAAAUAUAGUCCAGACAAUUAUAAAUUGUUCUUUAUGUUAUUUUUAUGUAAUAUUUUAUAUAUAAAAAUAUAUGCACAACCUUUAAAAGGAUGGCAACUAGAACCCCACUGAAUGAUCAUUUAUAGGAUGUAAAUACUAGUCUAAGCUGUUGGGAUUUGGGUCAAGUCACUCAGCCAUUCUGAGCUGAUGUCUGUUGUGAUACGGGAGCCACCUACCGGUGGCUGCUGGAGAUCC
rnacentral:lncRNA from 1 species